rnacentral:snoRNA from 1 species
AUUCUAUGAUGAGGUCACUUCCUUAAUAAUUCUUUGUACCUUUCCCAUGCCUCAUACAAGGACUCAUCAUCCAUUUGUUGGAACGCAGUGAUCUCGUUCCCCAACUU